rnacentral:rRNA from 1 species
AGAGAUGAGGAGCUUGCUCUUCAAAUCGAGUGGCGAACGGGUGAGUAACGCGUGAGGAACCUGCCUCAAAGAGGGGGACAACAGUUGGAAACGACUGCUAAUACCGCAUAAGCCCACAGCUCGGCAUCGAGCAGAGGGAAAAGGAGCAAUCCGCUUUGAGAUGGCCUCGCGUCCGAUUAGCUAGUUGGUGAGGUAACGGCCCACCAAGGCGACGAUCGGUAGCCGGACUGAGAGGUUGAACGGCCACAUUGGGACUGAGACACGGCCCAGACUCCUACGGGAGGCAGCAGUGGGGAAUAUUGCACAAUGGGGGAAACCCUGAUGCAGCGACGCCGCGUGGAGGAAGAAGGUCUUCGGAUUGUAAACUCCUGUUGUUGAGGAAGAUAAUGACGGUACUCAACAAGGAAGUGACGGCUAACUACGUGCCAGCAGCCGCGGUAAAACGUAGGUCACAAGCGUUGUCCGGAAUUACUGGGUGUAAAGGGAGCGCAGGCGGGAGAACAAGUUGGAAGUGAAAUCCAUGGGCUCAACCCAUGAACUGCUUUCAAAACUGUUUUUCUUGAGUAGUGCAGAGGUAGGCGGAAUUCCCGGUGUAGCGGUGGAAUGCGUAGAUAUCGGGAGGAACACCAGUGGCGAAGGCGGCCUACUGGGCACCAACUGACGCUGAGGCUCGAAAGUGUGGGUAGCAAACAGGAUUAGAUACCCUGGUAGUCCACACCGUAAACGAUGAUUACUAGGUGUUGGAGGAUUGACCCCUUCAGUGCCGCAGUUAACACAAUAAGUAAUCCACCUGGGGAGUACGACCGCAAGGUUGAAACUCAAAUGAAUUGACG